UUACCUGGGCUUGACAUCCCGGGAAGUCUCUGGAAACAGAGAUGUGCCCUUCGGGGAACCCGGAGACAGGUGCUGCAUGGCUGUCGUCAGCUCGUGUCGUGAGAUGUUGGGUUAAGUCCCGCAACGAGCGCAACCCUUGCCCUUAGUUGCUACCAUUUAGUUGAGCACUCUAAGGGGACUGCCGGUGUUAAACCGGAGGAAGGUGGGGAUGACGUCAAGUCCUCAUGGCCUUUAUGCCCAGGGCUACACACGUGCUACAAUGGACGGUACAAUGGGAAGCAAUCUCGCGAGAGGGAGCAAAUCCUAAAAGCCGUUCCCAGUUCGGAUUGGAGUCUGCAACUCGACUCCAUGAAGUCGGAAUCGCUAGUAAUCGUGGAUCAGCAUGCCACGGUGAAUACGUUCCCGGGCCUUGUACACACCGCCCGUCACACCACGAAAGUCGGUUGUACCAGAAGUCGUCGGGCUAACCUUCGGGAGGUAGGCGCCUAAGGUAUGGCCGGUGAUUGGGGUGAAGUCGUAACAAGGUAGCC
rnacentral:rRNA from 1 species